rnacentral:lncRNA from 1 species
CGUUUCCACGUGGGUUUUCGAGAGCGCUUCAGCCCCCGCGCCAGCUUCAGAACCGGAAGCACCAGCCUGCUCACCAGGUUCGUUACCCGGCGAGCAUUCGGCUGUGCUUACGAAAGAUACAGAAAACAGAACUACACAACUAAAUAGAGCGAAACCGCGAGCAGCCCAAACAGGGCAACGCGGGCAUAAAGCGCGAACCAACAUCCGUGAUACGAAAACCAAAAUCAGAAUCAGAAUGAGGAAUAAAAGGGGAUCGGAAGGACCAAACAAGAUCCAUUUUCCUAUCCAUUUCGACAAAAUCAGCUCAAGUUUUCCAAUCAUUGCGGAAUUAAAAAUCUUUUAAGUUAAGCUCUGCUCCCGAACAAAGAAAGGAGACUUAUUUUAGUGGCGUGGGAGUUUCCAACGAAAAGCAAGAUUUUGAGAACGUGAACAUGAGCGGUAGACUGAACACCCACACAAUCUCGAUUUGACACAGCAACACUGCUUGUCAAGUUAAGUAGCGACCUGCAUACAGGGGACCCACCUCGUGCCCAAGGGCUGACUCUUCUUUCAUUAUCUACUAUUUUGAUUUACCCUCUAGGGGUGGUAAUUGUUGUGUUAGUACACUAACUCUACUUCAAAGUGUUGGAUUCAUGAUUAAUAGUGAAGCUUUAAGCUUUCUAGAAGAAAAUAGAGAACGUUUAGUGAAACUGAUGCCUACUAAUCUAUCUUAGGUUAAUACAUCUAUAGUUCGCAGAGCACUCCAACAGUUCUUAAAAGAACAUGGUUAUGAUUUUUAUAGGUUUUCCACACUUUGGGGGGGGUAUGUUAGAUAAGCGAGUUCAACAAGCUCGGUAUGAGAAGUAUGUGUUUGAGUUGGCAAAGGCUUACAAAGGUUAUCGCUUAUACUUCCCUGCUUUCAUAGAUUUCAGAGGUCGUAUUUCUCGAUCAGGUAUGCUUCACUUCCACGAGCUUUAGUAAGAAGUAUGAUAUGCUUUGCACCUCCGAGUGGUAGUGUUACUUUGAAGUAUGAUGAGGAGUCAUAUCGUACAUUGCUUGAGGCAACUGCGUAUCACCACAGAGCUUUUAAUAACCGCGUAAUGAUGCUAUAGCUUGGUGUGAAGAAACCUGAAAAAGGCUUCAAUCUAAAGAUGAAGUGGAGAGAUGUGUUGAAUUUUUUAUAUUGUCGAAAAGAGCGAAAAACCCAUUCUAAUUCAUGUAACAUUUGCAUUUCUCCUGAGAGAUGAAUGUGCUCAUAUGUCUUCUAGAUUCAUGCCCGUAUGUCUUUGGGUCAAAGUCAAUAUACCAUGAUUUCUUUUCUCAGUGCCUCCCGCUAUUUCGACUUUUUCACCAGCCUCUGGCGUAUCGCUGGCCAUAAUUUUGUCUUUUUCCUCGCUGGCUGGACUUUAAAAUCCAAGUAUCUGGGGUUGGCCUCGCUGGACCUCAAAAUAAAGGAAAGGGGUAUUUCUUCUUCAAAGUAUGGACAGUCCUAUUUAUUUUCUGAAGUCUGCGAGUUUCUUUUCUUUUGACGAUAGGUUUUAUUUAGCCUCUUCUUUGACCAUGCUAUGAGGAGAGUUUGAGGCAGGCUCAUUCUUUUAGCCCGCCCGAGAGUCUGUCUGGGAGUACACGCGGGUAAGACUAGAUGGACGUCCGUGGGGGGGUCCGUAGCUGAAGAUGAGAUGUGAGUGCGUAGCUCACCAAAUUCAAAAGAAGGGGCCCCUGGUGGCACAAAGCUGUAGGGUUUAUGAAUAGAGAACCAGUCAAGAAAGACUGCAAAUUUGAGAGUGAGGUGACGAGAGCUGAAGUGAAGCUAAGGCUCCUUGCUAGGCUCCAUAGAUGUUCGUACGAUUUAUUCUUGCUUGGGUGUGUUUUUUUUAAGCCUCUCAUUAGGUCUUCACUGAAGGAUUGCCCACCUUCUCAAGCCCCUAUACCAUACCCUGAGAAAGUUACGCCGGAAUACUCCCAAACCUAAAUGACAGAACUUUUCAAACUAGUUGAUAGUUGUUCCCUGGUUGCAGUUAGAAAUUAGUAAAUCACAUUAGAGGUUAACCUUUGAUCUUAAAUUGGAUAAGGAAACCCAGGUAAACUGAAGGAUUGGUAGUAAAUUACUUGUGGCAGAGUGAAAGAAACAUUUAGUUCGUAAUCAUUCCUUUGAAUGAAAAGCUUGUGGCCAGAUUAAAAUAGUUUAGAAUAUCUGGGGAACCUCGAGCUAGCUUCCUAGGCGGAGUUCUAGGAACUAUGUUGAUAUAUUGCUUGCUUUAUGUACAUCAAGGAAGAAAUCAGCUAUGCUUUUUAAGCUCCACCAAUGCCAUGGCUCUUGCCGCCUAUGUAAAGCCUUCCCUUGUACCUAACAACCCCUAAUAGUCCUACUUUUACCUUACCUUGCUUUGCUUGCUUACACAUUCAUUAUAUAUGGUUUAAUGGUUGGUAUAGUGGAUUGAGAUUGUCGGGGCGUCUGCUGAAGGCAAAUGGCUCGCAUGACUUUUCUCGAUAGAUAGAUGAAUCCCACUUUUGUCACACAAUAGGGCAGUCUCCCAAGGGAAGAGGGGAAAAUGGAGAAAAACACGGGUUUUCAUUUUCUUUUGUUAUUUUCUCACAGUCUCCCGAGGGAAAUGGGGAAAAUGGACAAAAACACGGGGUUUUCAUACAAAUUCUAUUUCCAGUUGAGACUAGUGCAAUCAGGUAAUCCAUUUCAACUGAAAACCCUAUAAUUCACUUCGGAACUCAACGUUUUCGCUUCCCUGGCAAUAGUAUGCCAAGCGCCAGGCCAACAAGUAUGAGUUAUUGCCGAUGCUCGAAGCGGCUUUUUUACUCCGGGUACAAAAGAGUAAUCCACAUUCAUUGGUUUUCUUCCUUGAUGGAUGCUCGGUAUGCAUAGUAUUCACGGGUAGCCGUACCAACCCCCUAGCAAUGUAGAGCGGGUCUCUCGGUACUUCGUCAUAAUAGUUCUUUUUAUUAAGUAAGAACUCGGACGGUAAAUGUAGAAAGAGCAUGAGGGAAUGCCCAGACUUAUUUAAUAGAUUUACUUGCCCGAAUAGAUUGACUCGGUUGGCCGUAGGAAAAGAUAACUCAUGCCUACUUUACUUACUUGCACAGCCGCCCCACCCACACUCGAGAAAAUCAAUUACGUGAGGGCCACUUCUUUAUAUAGGUCGCCCUUACCUUGCUAUGCUUCUUUGAAGUCAGCCCCUUCUGUGCAUGAACUAGUAGUCCAUCAUUUAGGUAGGGGAAGCUUAACAUGAAAGAUAUAGAUUCUAUGCCUUUUUCUUUUGUUGGAUGGGAAACUCACUCAUGACCUAGUCGACAACACGAUCCUUUCCAUAAACUCUGGGUUGAGCUCUACCGCUUCUUUCAAGUUCAGUUUUCUCCUGGUCAACCAGUCAGCGGCCCUGUUGUCCCUAAGUCAGCGAGCGGAGCGGCCCUUUUGUUCAUGAGAGGAAUUCAUUCCCUUUGAUGUACACCAACGAACGAAGUCGAAUUAUUUCGUCUUUAUUUUUCUCAUUAUAUAGAGUUAUGUGAAGAAAGAAUAUUAAUUCAGGAAGUUCAUCCCCAUGUUCAUUGGCAAGGCGGUACGCGUUCCCGGGGUUGACCGCUAUGACAAUAAAAAAAAGAUCUUUCCUUAAGGAAGGGGCUUAAGUUGACCCUUAGGGUGCUGUGCGUUGGAAAUAUUUAUUAUUUAUAUGAGUUUUUUUAAUAAGCGCGGCUGAGUUGACGUUGAUAGACUUGUGCGUGCUCUGCCGCUCGUAACCUUUUUUUUUCUCCCAUCGAAUCGAGGAGGUCAAGUUUCGAGAGCAGAGCCUCUCGCUUCUGAUUAUCAGUCAUAUCGUCGUCGAGCAGAACGGCGCAGGGAAGGAAUCGUCGAGUUCACUGGGAAGAAUGGCGUCCAUGCCAACGACUAAGGAGAAGGGUGUUUGACCAGUGGCUCUAUACAGAUUGACGUCCGAUAAGCCCAGAGAGCCUCAAGAAGGCGAUCUGGCCAGUCUCCUCCGACUCAAAAGUGUUUGUAGCUAUGGUAUGGGUCUGGUCUGAAGACCAAUGGGUCAGGUCAAAAAAGGGGAUAUCCUCUUCUUUGGCUACACCAACUAAUGUAGUAGAUUGCGUUCCCGGAGGACACUUUCUCCAUUUCGUCGGUACUGGUAACAACAGAUCUUGACCUCGUUCUUUUUCUUGUUAUUUUACUUCUUGGAAUGGAAUUCUUCUCAUGAUAGUCACACAAGCGAAGGAGAAGAGGAUGGGUCCCGAGGGAACUCUUUUUCUUCUAUUCUAAGUUUUGAUUGCACGAGCAGCAUAACAACAUAACAGUUUUGUGUAAGGAAGUAAGGAAAGACUCCUUUCUGAAAUUUAAGGACUUAAUUAGCCUGUCGUAUAUAACAGAUAAUGCAAAGAGAGUUUCCAAUGGGUUACAUCAAGUUCCAUUCCCAGUAUGCGAAAUCAGUAAACACGAAUAUCUGUAUAUAAGAAACUUCUAUUCCAAUCCACAAUCGGUCCAACAAGUCAACUGUCGUCAACUAGAUCAAUCAGGAAUAAGCAAUAUGUCGUACCCUAUCUGUCAUAUUUGCUUUUCGGUAAAGGGUACACACUUUUUUUUUUUACUUAUUAAAUUCUCUGUCUUGCUAAACACAAAUCCUUCUUUUCUUGUAUAGACGAAAAAAAAAGAACAAAGUAGGUUUCGACCCAUUAAAGGAGUCAAUGGCACGCACACAAAGCAGGAGGAAAUCGGUACCCCGCGAGGCUGGCGAAGUCGGCACAAGAAGUAGGCGGAGUAGAGGCAGCAGUUGCGGGCUCAGGUGCGGCUAUAAAUCUAAAUCAAUAUUCCCGUCUGGGGUUGGCGGAGUUGGUAGAAAGCACGGUUGGCGAUAAGCUGGUACUAGUUUCAUUCUUUCUAUUCUAAAAUCCAAUACCCGGAACUGGUAAAUCAAACAAUGUAGGCACACGUUGGCACAGUUCUGUAAAUAAGAGAUGUCUCAUCCGGUUGAGCUGUCGCAAUCAGUCUUUCUCUUCCUUUCUUAGUAGCAGAUCCAACAUGACUGUAUUAAACCUUAAGCAAUCAGGGUUAAGCUAGCUCAUUGCCUGAAAGUGGAGCUCGUAUUAUACACCUUGACCCCCACCUUUUUUGAAUCCUUCCUCCAUAUAUAUUUUAUGUUAGAUAAGAUAAGUCCCAUAACUGCCUCAUUCAGAUCGAUUCCAGUCGCCGUUACGGUCACAUCAAUCCGUUAUGGCUCGGACCCUCUUAGCUGCUGGAUCCUUCGGGAAGCCAUAGUAGGGAUUACGUCAGUACAUUCUUAGGCGAGCAGUGGAUUAUAUCACCCCUAUUUUUGACCUUCUUUCUUUUUUAGGCAUGGGACCAAGGUUGAUCGAAGUUGAACAUUCCUAUGGAACUCCCCUUCAGACGACUUCUCUGCGCUUGCCCAGCACCUUUCGUUUUAUGGACCAGGACCAAUUUCACCUCAGACCAUGGUGGCUGGAUAACGUUCUCUCAAGGACCUGCUCUCUAAUGCUGAUGAUCAAACGUUCCUUCAGAUGUGUAUGAGAAGGAAAGCGUCUCACAGGACUCUUAGAUAGAAACCAGCAUAGUCUAUGAAUUAGCAUUCACAGUUUAUUGAACUUGGUUGCACUCGUAAAGCGAGCGUGAAGAGAGCUGCGAAAGAAGCCCACGGAACGGAGCGGUUCUUUUUCCUGACUAGCAAGUGGACAGGCUCUGAUGGCGUAGCUGAUGUGUCAUGCUAGGUAUCUUUUUUUUUCCUUUUUAGAUUUAUCUCAAGGGAUUGAAGACUUUCCUCUAUACUGACAGAAGCAGAGAGGCUGGUAAAAAAGAAGGAAGCAGGCUGGACAUGGUAAUAGAACCCACUGGAGAUCAUUCAAUCGGACGUCUUCCACAAAGUAAAGCUAGAGUAAGUGGCGUAAGAUAAGAUAGAUGUUCACUUUCAUCGACCAAUGUACCUGAAAUUCCUAUACGUAAAGUCGAGAGCUAGAGAGAGUAAAUGAGACGUUCAAAGGGUGAAGCUAACGCUUCCCUGGCCACUAGGGAGUCAUCAAAGUCUGAGUCCAUACACUUACUAGCUAAUACUGGAUCGUCAAAGAUCUGAUUCUAUUUAAUAAUACCUUCUGUCUCUCUCCUAAGGGAUCCAAUCAGAAGGAAUUCCCUCACUUCGCUCAUGAUAGUCGGUCGAGUUCCCUUUUCUAUUUUAGUUGAGUUUCGCCUCUCCUCCUUUCCUUGUCUCCAUUCUGAUUGAUUCGCUUCUUCGCGCAAGCACUUGGUUCGCCCCUUACUAUAACCAUCCCACUCAAUCUUUUACACCGAUGUUUCGUACUCUCUCGACCAGGUCAUCAUAAGAAAAUACUGCCAAAUCUUUCCGAAAUGAGAGAAGGAGGGAAGGCGCGCUACAACUAACUGCUGAAAACGCAAGAUUAGCGCUAAGAAGCAACCCUAGUUUAAGUACUAGCGUCCCACCCCAACGUUCUUGUACUUAAAAAGACUCUCCCCCGCUUGCUGCUCGCCUCAGCCAGACGUGGCUUAUGUAGUGGUCGGCAUUCCUACGUGCUCCGACUGAUCCCCACUGGAGAUUAUAUGAGGGGUCGUGACGCUUUGGUGACGAAGGUCACCGGGGUGACUAUGGAAGGAUUCCGUGGUAGUCUCUGACUCCCUCCAACUCAAUCAAUAUCAAGAACAUGUCGUUAGCAUGGGGUUUGGUUAGGCUUGGUUGAGUUUGUAAGAAAAGAUAGUAGGUUGAGGGGCUUCAUUGAUUAGUAAACCUACGGUGCUGGUAAGGUCGGGACCGUGGUCGUCCGUCUCCGCUUUGCCGGCCGAUAAGAUCACUGAGAUUGACCAGCCAGCUGGGUAGGUUUGGCUAUUCCUUUCUAUUGAAAAGGAGUCAGCUGUCUGCGCGAGUCACCUUCCUUAGGCUCCGAGUCACCUUCUUCUAAGCUCCGCUGGACGACACGGCAUUCUCGUUCUAUAGGCCGGCCGUACUUGUGAUGGUUCCCCAGGAUCCAAUAAAUCCACUUAGGUCUACGUUGCCGCGAUAUUGUUCUAUGGAAGCGGGUGGGCUGCUUUUUAUAAGUUCGGCCCGGUUUUUCAUUAAAAAAAAAGAAAGGGGGGGAGGGAUUGACCUUUCUAACGCAUAUUCCGUCGUACCGGCAUGGCCCCACUGAUUUGUUUUCGAUCGGAGCAUCAAGCAGCGCAACCCGGUUCUACUUGACUAAGCCCCGUGCUCGUCCAAGGAGGGAGUUUGCUUUACCCAACUCCCCUUUUUGAUAAAAAGGCAAAAACCUCUUCAUGAGUUUCGAAUGAAGAAUGAAGAGUGCCCCUCUUUUUUUCCCUAAAUCUUGGAUUUGGAAGUUGGUAAAGACCCACCCCUUGUUUAAGUCAGAAUGAGUCCCGAGACAUUGGCUUCCGCCAACAGUGAACUAUUAAGGAUCGCAUCCCGCGCAUAUUCUACAUUAUAGCCUGCAACUGAUUCAGCUUCCGCUUCUGGGAGAUCAGACGGAGCUCGAUUAGUUUCUGCUAGACGAGGAAUAAGGAACAUAACCAAUACGGGGAACAAGGGAAUACCGGACCAUAUCUGCUUUUGCGCCAUGACAAUCUCACUCGAAUUACAGGGACCUACACAUAUUAGUACAGUAUACCGGGGUCCCCGGCCAGAACCACACGUGCAAGUUUCCCUGCAUGUGGCUCGUCCGUGCUUUUAUCCGAGGCGCUGCCUGCGACUCUGCAUGGGAGAAGAGGGCUGAACUGCAAACUUUCGUGUUCAGAGCAUUGCAUUGUCUAAGGGAGUAGGGUGAGUAAGCAGCGCCUACCAAGCUAAGCUUUCGUCGAAAAGGCGUCACUGCUUCCUUUUCGGCGCCCGCCCUUUAUUUAGAUGUUGGGGCAAGGCAAGCCCAAGGAAAGUCUAGGUUGGUGCUCCAUCUCGGCCGGCAUCCUGCUCUCGAGAGGGUGUGGUCCUUGAGCGAACUAGUCAUGUGCUGUGUUGCCCCAACGCAGGGGCAUUUGGUGAGGAGCUACGGUCCGGUGGUUGACAAGCCACUGAUCGGAGGCGACUGGAGUGCUUUCAUCAAAUGAUGCAUGUGGGCUGAGCCAUUCCCAUCCCAAGUGGUGGCCCGAUUCGGCCUGGCCUGGUCGGAAAGAGAUUCUAAAUCUCGAAUAUGCGCACCGAGAAUAGAUAUCUAUGUUAGCUAGCGGGGGCGGGCUUUCCCCUGGUAGUCCCGCUGCGUCCUCUGACAGUCCGUCUCAUCUUUCUUUGGCUAUACUUGUAGCCAGCCAUAUUAGCUCCACAUUCCACCCUUUUUUAUUUUGACGAAAAAGGCAGCGUCGCCCCCUUUCCUAUUUAGCUUUGCUUGCUGCCUAUUAUGAGAAUAGGUCCCGGUUCAAGCGGCCCGCCUUUCAUCAUCAUCUAUACCAGCUGCCACGCACGAUCCCAUAGGAACGAUUUCAUCGCCCUAAGAAGCAGAACGCGCCAUCACCUACAGCCCUUUCCUCUGCCGGGGACUUUCACGAAAUGAAAACGGGCGGCAUCAUCGUAUGCUCGACAUUAGUUGCCCUGGUGUAUAUCCCGGAGUACUCCUAUGGCCGAUCUGUCACCCAUACAUGAAGGCCUUGGCCCCGUCCCGUGUGGAGCCCCCCUUACGGCACGGCUUAGUCAGUUAUUUUCUUUUGUCAGAGUGGAUUCGGACCGCCACUUCUCUGAAAGCAUGGUUCUUGCCUCCCUCUCUCCUCCCUCCUUGAAGCUCGUCCAUUCGUUGGGUGAUCCCUUGCUCUCACGUUCGAGUGUUUGCUCGUCGUUUAGGCCGGUGAGUGACAUUUUUGCUCAUUGCAGUCCGGGGUUCUUCGCACCUGGGUAGUACCAGGACCCUUGUGCCCCGGACUGCACUGCCCGCCCUAUGACCCAAAACUCAAAACGAGCCUUGCGACGAGACGCGGACAUUCCUCAUGCUGCGGUUCCCUCCGGUCCGUUCCCGGGUUGGGUUAGGGGAAGAUCCGAGCGAUUGCCUUCGCGGAUCCAAACGUGCUCACAAGGCGCACAAUAAGAAUAAGACCAAUAGAGACUUCAUAAGAGACCAUUUGAGCUGCAGAUCGUAAUGCUCCUAGAAAGGCAUAUUUCGAAUAUAGAGGACGUUCCCAACAAUCCACGAGAAUAUCAUACCCAACUAUGAACCGUACGAGCACAUCCUCUGUCACCCCCACCGCGCUUACGGCUCUAUACCCCAACCCAACUUGCUCUGGCCCUGGGUCCUCCCGCAUCUCUUCCUCGGUAAGCGGACCGUGGAAGCUGGGGGGUAUCCGCUUGGGACUGAUAGGAAACAGCAUAUCUUUUUUUUCCCUCCUGACCCCUAAAAAAAAUAUAUAGUUGCAGUCCGGUCGCGUCGGAGACAUCCUUAUCAGAUUUUGAGGCUUCGUCGUCCGGCUCCUCCAAAAUUAUGUUAGGAUCGGCUGGCUCAUCCUUAUCAUCCGAAAAUAAAACAAAGACAAAACAGAUUUGUUUCAAUGACAUAUCUAAUCAGACUGAAAUUGAUGUCGAAGACACGAUCAUUCACAUCAAUUUCUGCAGGCAGGAAGGGCGCGGAAGCUACCGUUUAACGAAUGCAAGCAAGGUAGCUUGCUUACUCUCCAUCUAGCGUGCGUUGGCGGCAAGGAAAGAGGCAUUGGAAAGACUAGACCAUACACAUUAAUUAGUACAAGAAAGAGGCAUUCGGGAAGCGACUAGUCGCUUCUGGCGAAGCUUAACAAAGGCCGACUACUACAUAGAGACAACUACCAGUCAUGAGCGAUAGUGAAGCUGUCGCUUGACGGACGAAGCCGAACCGAUACGAUAGGCGGGCGAAGUGAGCGAGACCAAGACGGGCCAGACGUGGAGUGGCGAAGGUACUAUACGUAUACGUGAUUAGUAAGCGGUUCAAGACAUCGAACGAAAAAGAAAAAAAGAACUAUUGAACAUUUCCUCAAAUGACAAGUACCAAGGAGCAAGAAAACGUAUGCGCUUUAGCAAGGGAUGAGCGCUCAAUCCGUUGCUUGUUCUUUCGGUAGCCUUCUUUCAUUUCCGAAUUUGCUUGCGAGCAGUCCUUGCAUUAGUAUGAGUUCGUUGACCGCGUAAUGGCGAUCCAUCUUGAUGACGAAUUCCACGAUAACGAGAAAUAGAAAUUAAUCGUUCGAUGUCUGCUCGUUCUCCCCUCUUCAAUUCCCAAUGAACAACAUGAUCUUGAGCUAUCAUUUGUUCAAUUUGGUCGAUCUGAUACUUAGUUAACUCAUGAAUCUUGAUGUUCCCACUGAUACCUAAUCGAUAACGAAGCUGAAUGGCUUUUUUCGGUCCAAUUCCAUCCAUUUUUGUUGAGGCAAUUCUUACUUGUUCAUCGGGAAGUGAUCUAGCUCCUGAGAUAUAUGACAUUCUUUAUCCUUCUCUUUUCCUGGUCUUCUCGGCUGGAAUCUACAAUGGUUGUCUCCCGAACAAAAGAAAAGAACCAUCUCUAUCUCUUUCAAUUCACUCUUCCCUUAAUCAUCAUGAUAGGAGGAUCCUAUCCUUUCCGAAUCUGCCUUUCGCCUUUGACCCACGAACUCGAGUCGGACUCAUUCACUGCUGACUUUUUAGUUUUGAGGAUCGUUCGUUCUUCACUCUCUUGCUAUUACCCGCAGGGAGCGCAGCAGUCUUCCCAGUCAAGCGCAGCUUCCGUUAGGUUUCGUUCAGGCUCGCUCUCGUUCUGAGGUGGAUUCGAACCACUCUGUUAGGAUUUGGAGUCCAACGCGCUAAGCAAAAGAGGAUUUUCAGUCCUCUGCUCUAACCAGCCAGAACAAAAAAGGAGGAGAUUGGGUGACUGAACACCCACACAAUCUCUAUUUGUAAAGUAUCAUGAUCGUAUCAAGAUCUAUUUAAAUUCGGCUCAAUUAGAAGAAUAAAGAAGAAUUACUUCAUUUCGUAACUUAUUUUUUCUCUUUCUAUUUUUCUUCUUUUUUAUUUUAUUUAGACCUUCUUUAUAUCUAGUUUUAUCUACUUAUAUCUAUAAGGUAUCCAUCGCUUUGAAAGUAUCAAAUUUGAUCUCCUUCCAUAUUUCACAAGCUGCGGCUAGUUCAGCACUCCAUUUACAAGCUGCUUUGAUAAUUUCAUUACCUUCACGAGCAAGAUCGCGCCCUUCGUUACGAGCUUGUACACAGGCUUCUAAAGCCACACGAUUAGCUGCUGCACCAGGUGCAUUUCCCCAAGGAUGUCCUAAAGUUCCUCCACCAAAUUGUAAUACGGAAUCAUCUCCAAAGAUUUCGGUCAGAGCUGGCAUAUGCCAAACAUGAAUACCCCCUGAAGCCACCGGUAUAACACCUGGCAUGGAUACCCAGUCCUGAGUGAAAAAGAUACCGCGAGAACGAUCUUUUUCAAUAAAAUCAUCGCGCAAUAAAUCAACAAAACCUAAAGUUAUUUCGCGUUCCCCUUCUAACUUACCUACUACUGUACCGGAGUGGAUAUGAUCUCCCCCCGACAUACGCAAUGCUUUAGCUAAUACACGGAAAUGCAUACCAUGAUUUUUCUGUCUAUCAAUAACUGCAUGCAUUGCUCGGUGAAUGUGAAGAAGUAGGCCGUUGUCGCGGCAAUAAUGAGACAAAGUAGUAUUUGCGGUGAAUCCUCCUGUUAAGUAGUCAUGCAUUACAAUAGGAACCCCUAAUUCCUUUGCAAAUACAGCUCUCUUAAUCAUUUCUUCGCAUGUACCUGCAGUCGCAUUCAAGUAAUGCCCCUUGAUUUCACCGGUUUCGGCUUGUGCUUUAUAAAUUGCUUCGGCACAAAAGACAAAACGGUCUCUCCAGCGCAUAAAUGGUUGUGAGUUUACGUUUUCAUCAUCUUUGGUAAAAUCAAGUCCACCGCGUAGACACUCAUAACACGCUCUACCGUAAUUUUUUGCGGAUAAUCCCAAUUUUGGUUUAAUAGUACAUCCCAAUAAAGGACGACCGUACUUGUUCAACUUAUCCCUUUCAACUUGGAUACCGUGAGGCGGACCUUGGAAAGUUUUUACAUAAGCAGGGGGAAUUCGUAGAUCCUCCAAACGUAGAGCGCGUAAGGCUUUGAAACCAAAUACGUUACCCACAAUGGAAGUAAACAUGUUAGUAACAGAACCCUCUUCAAAUAGGUCUAAUGGAUAAGCUACAUAACAGAUAUAUUGAUCUGCCUCCCCAGGAACGGGCUCGAUGUGAUAGCAUCGUCCUUUGUAACGAUCAAGACUGGUAAGUCCAUCAGUCCAAACAGUUGUCCAUGUACCAGUAGAAGAUUCCGCAGCUACUGCAGCUCCUGCUUCUUCAGGCGGAACCCCGAGCUGAGGAGUUACUCGGAAUGCUGCCAAGAUAUCAGUAUCCUUGGUUUCGUACUCCGGGGUGUAGUAAGUCAAUUUAUAAUCCUUAACACCAGCUUUAAAUCCAACACUUGCUUUAGUUUCUGUUUGUGGUGACAUAAGUCCCUCCCUACAACUCAUGAAUUAAGAAUUCUCACAACGACAGGGUCUACUCGAUAUGGAUUAGGCGUAAAUGAAACCUUUGCAAAAAUCGAAAAAAAAAUAUAUUCAAUUAAUAUCAACUCAUUAAAUAAAAAAAGGAGUAUGCUUAAGUUAAUGAAUAUGUUUCAUUCAUAUAUAAUGUGUACACCCUGUGUACGUUCUAUCCUAUAGGAAUUUUACUAUAGGAAUUCGAUAGGAAGGAAUUCGAUAGGAAUUGAGUUGUUGUUAUGGUAAGUUAACAUGGUUCGUUAUUAAACCGUGGAUUUGAUUCACCAAAUCCAUCAUUAUUGUAUACUCUUUGAUAGAUAUAGCGCAACCCAAACCAAUCCCUAAUCUUUAUUUUACAAUUUUAAAAGUUCUUAAUAGGCCCCUUUGAUAUUUUGAAUCUAAAUACCUAAAUACUAAGAAAAUUCUCUGUUGACAGCAAUCUAUGCUUCACAGUAGUAUAUAUUUUGUAUAUCGAAGUCCUAGAUAGGAAAGUAGAGUAGGCACAGAUCCUUCACAAAAGGCGAAAUUUAUAUGAAAAAAAAUGGAUUGAACUUUCCAACGGACUCAUUCCAUAAGUAAACGAUUGAAUGGGAUUCGCUUGGGCAACGAAAUCAAGUGCGAGUCCCCUUUUCUUUUUUAUUGAAUUAACUAAUUCAUUUCCUUUUGACUUUUGGAUUUUUUUUUGAUUUGGCAUUAUUCAACAAGAAAAAAAAAAUUUCGAUAAAUUCCUUUUUUUUUUUUAAUUAUGUGAUAAUUAUGAGAACCAAUCCUACUACUUCGCGUCCCGGGGUUUCCACAAUUGAAGAAAAAAGCGUAGGGCGUAUUGAUCAAAUUAUUGGACCCGUGCUGGAUAUCACUUUUCCCCCGGGCAAGUUGCCUUAUAUUUAUAAUGCUUUGAUAGUCAAGAGUCGAGACACUGCCGAUAAGCAAAUUAAUGUGACUUGUGAGUUACAACAAUUAUUAGGAAAUAAUCGAGUUAGAGCUGUGGCUAUGAGUGCUACAGACGGGUUGAUGAGAGGAAUGGAAGUGAUUGACACGGGAACUCCUCUCAGUGUUCCAGUCGGUGGAGCUACUCUCGGACGAAUUUUUAACGUUCUUGGGGAGCCUAUUGACAAUUUGGGUCCUGUGGAUACUAGUGCAACAUUCCCUAUUCAUAGAUCUGCGCCUGCCUUUAUCGAGUUAGAUACGAAAUUAUCUAUCUUUGAAACAGGUAUUAAGGUGGUCGAUCUUUUAGCUCCCUAUCGACGUGGAGGAAAAAUCGGACUGUUUGGGGGGGCAGGAGUAGGUAAAACAGUACUCAUCAUGGAAUUAAUCAAUAACAUUGCUAAAGCUCAUGGAGGCGUAUCCGUAUUUGGCGGAGUAGGGGAACGGACUCGUGAAGGAAAUGAUCUUUAUAUGGAAAUGAAGGAAUCCGGAGUAAUUAAUGAAAAAAAUAUUGAGGAAUCAAAGGUAGCUCUAGUCUAUGGCCAAAUGAAUGAACCGCCGGGAGCUCGUAUGAGAGUUGGUUUAACUGCCCUAACUAUGGCAGAAUAUUUCCGAGAUGUUAAUAAGCAAGACGUGCUUUUAUUCAUCGAUAAUAUCUUUCGUUUUGUUCAAGCAGGAUCGGAAGUAUCCGCCUUAUUAGGCAGAAUGCCCUCCGCAGUGGGUUAUCAACCUACCCUUAGUACAGAAAUGGGUUCUUUGCAAUAAAGAAUUACUUCUACCAAAAAGGGAUCUAUAACUUCGAUCCAAGCAGUUUAUGUACCUGCAGACGAUUUGACCGACCCUGCUCCUGCCACAACAUUUGCACAUUUGGACGCUACUACCGUACUUUCCAGAGGAUUAGCUUCCAAGGGUCCCGCAGUAGAUCCUUUAGAUUCAACCUCAACUAUGUUACAGCCUCGGAUCGUUGGCAACGAACAUUAUGAAACUGCGCAAAGAGUUAAGGAAACUUUACAACGUUACAAAGAACUUCAGGACAUUAUCGCAAUUCUUGGAUUGGAUGAAUUAUCGGAGGAGGAUCGUUUAACUGUAGCAAGAGCACGAAAAAUCGAGCGGUUCUUAUCACAACCGUUCUUUGUGGCAGAAGUUUUUACCGGUUCUCCAGGAAAGUAUGUUGGUCUUGCAGAAACAAUUAGGGGAUUUCAACUAAUCCUUUCCGGAGAAUUAGACGGCCUACCCGAACAGGCUUUUUAUUUAGUGGGGAACAUCGAUGAAGCUAGCACGAAAGCUAUAAACUUAGAAGAGGAGAGCAAAUUGAAGAAAUGAAAUUAAAUCUUUAUGUACUGACUCCUAAACGAAUUAUUUGGGAUUGUGAAGUGAAAGAAAUCAUUUUAUCUACUAAUAGUGGCCAAAUUGGUGUAUUACCAAACCACGCCCCCAUUAACACAGCUGUAGAUAUGGGUCCUUUGAGAAUACGCCUCCUCAACGACCAAUGGUUAACGGCGGUUCUGUGGAGUGGUUUUGCGAGAAUAGUUAAUAAUGAGAUCAUCAUUUUAGGAAAUGAUGCAGAACUGGGUAGUGACAUUGAUCCAGAAGAAGCUCAACAGGCACUUGAAAUAGCCGAAGCUAACUUGAGUAAAGCUGAGGGUACGAAAGAAUUGGUUGAAGCGAAGCUAGCUCUCAGACGAGCUAGGAUACGAGUCGAGGCUGUCAAUUGGAUUCCCCCAUCCAAUUGAAGACAAUCCAAAGGUUUCGUUGAUACAAAGAAAAAGGAAAGAAGGGAUCUCGUUCCUAGAGACCCAGAGAUGAAUGAAACUGAUAUUCACUGUUAUAUGUAACAAGCAAGUUGAUAUAUAUAUGUAGCUUUUUCAGACCUGACUGACAUGUAGGUAGCUUGUUUGUAUCUAUUUUAAACAGGCGGGGUUCAAAUGUGGCAUUUCUAUAAAAUGAGUCAACGUCAUGCUUAUCCUAAACAACCAAGCUCCCCCUUGCCCCUACUUAAAAUCAGGCUCUUCCUGACUCCUUUGCGGAUUGGACGAAGGCUUUGCGGAAUUGUUCUUGUCUUGCCUUGAGCUCACGACUGAUAGAUGUAUAAGCCUGGUCAUUGCCAGACUUUCUCUUUCUCCAUCUAAAGAUGCCUCAUCUUGGUACGAACUUUUUGUCUUCUUAAGUCUGAAUGCUGAUAGGUGGUUCUGCCUAAUUCUCUCUUUUUCUAUCUUUGAUGGACCAAGCGAGUCUUAUAGAAUCUUAUGCCGACCCCUUUCUUUACCGGUCAUCAAGGCUUUGACCCUGGCGCUCGAUCUCGGGCCUGUGCUUCAGUGAAUGGUAUGGAUUUCUAACUAAUAAUGGUGGUGAUGUACCAUUCCAUUCUUUAUGCGCUGACUCGAGGUCUCUUCUUUUUCUUUUUGGAAUCCUCUACGAGGGGGUUCGAUAUUCUUUCUGCUAGUCUUUCUUUUUUUAGCCCUGAUGAGUACAGUUUUCUAUUCAUCUAUGGAUGGAUUCUACCGUUCAUCCGGGGGCUACCAAUUGCUUAACCAACCCGAUUUUUUCCUUACAGAAGAAUGAUAGACGGAAGCAGAAUCAAGGGAUCUUCUUGGUAUGGUUGUAGGUCGGCGAGAUGUCCAGUUUGUCUGUAUGAGCCUAAUAAACAAGCCUAUGGGUACACAGUCAACCCGAGCUAAAGCUAUUUAUGAAGAGUGGCGGUCACAAGCAUUGAGCACCGAUAUCUAAAAACAAAGCGUGGAUAAACCGAACCUGGAGAAUCAAGCGUCGGACAGCCAAGCCACUAUUUCGCUUUGAUCGAACAGAAAUAGGAUAGAGCUUUAGUACUCGAUCGGUAUGGGGAGAGGGAGUUUACUUGAGGGUACUGACUUGCCUAUACUAAAUAAAGGAAGAGUCCGCAAAGCUGAGCUUUCGGUUCGCUCCCCAGGCCUUCAACCCUGUUUGCCUCCUUUCUCUUGCUUGAUGGAAUAGUUCAAUGCCCGAGCUCCAGCUUUGCUUGCGUUCUUCACCGGCGCUCGCCGGAUGUAUCACUCAUCCCGAAAAUAAGGCAAGGAGUCUGCUGUUUGUUAUAAUCAUUACGGGAAUGAAUCGCAUAUGUUGGUUUAGAAUUGCUCGGGAAUUCAUUGAUAGUGACUUUUUUCAGUUCUAGGGGGGCUAGUCUACUCCUCUUUUUUCUCGAUCGAGCCGCUUUCCCUCAUUCUACUCGUCCAGCCCUCUUCACGAACUUGUACAAUCAAUGCCACAAAGAUAGCAAACUCGAUUAUCGAAUAUAUAAGGAAAGGGGCGACGAUUUGGCACCAGAUAUCCGGAGGUGUGGAAAGAGCUGCUGUGAUAAGCGGAAAAACCAUCAAAAAACGACGAUUGCUCGUGAAGGUUUCCACAGAAAGACCCCUUGGUUCUGGCAAACAGAUCACAAUUACAGGUACCUGGGAGCAUACCGAUGGAAUGAACAAAAUACGAACAGUUAACAUAAUAUAGUCAUAGAUCUUAGGUUGUAACUUGAUCAUGAGCGAAUUUGUUGAUGUUGCACCCACGAAGUAUGGAAAGUGCCAAACAUUGGGAACUACCCGGGGAGGAGUUAGGAACAGGAACAAGGAGAAGCGAGAACCACUUAAAUGGAGGAAUCUAUUGUAUUUCUGCCUUUGUUCCCCAUAGCAACUGGGGAUCGAAAAGCACCAAAUUUGAUGACUUAUUAAGGGAAAGACGAAGUAAGAGCAUGCUAUUGAAGACGUUGCAACAUAUGUCGGGGGGGCCUCCGUUGAUUGUGUACGAACAAAAUACGAGUCCAAAGGUAGGGUAAGAAAGGGUUUAGCUAAUGGAGAAAUUGACUCUUCCGGGAACCAGUAACGCGUAAACCAUGUCAAACCAAGACCAAUCAAUAUCCGAACGGAACGGAUUCGAACUUCUCCUAGAAAAGUUUCCGGUGCGAAAUUCCAUUCAAUGAGUAAUUCAAAGGAUAAAUGCAUUUUCGGCAUGCGGUCGGUAGGGUUCCCCCUUCCUCGCUUCCGUCCGCUAUCCGUUGUGUCAUGGCACAGUGGGACAUCUGUCAGCCUUGCAUUUCUCAACAGGGCUAUCUUCCCUUUUCCGAACAUAGAUAUCAAAAAAUGAUGAUGAAUUCCAAGGAAAAAUGAGUGAGUUGAUUCAUUCUGUCCUCAAUUUAUCAAUCCUCUUUCUAUAUGAUAAUAUGUCAAAACAAGUUCGAUAGCCCAUUCAUAACACAAGCAAUCCUCUUCCCUUCAACUCGUACCGAAGGCUAUGUCCCAGUAAGCAUUUCCUCUGUUUCCUUGUUUCCCACCUCUGACCUUCCGCUAUGACCAGUCCACUAAGUCAGGUAUCUCUGAAAAGUAAGACCGUCCUCUUCCCUUCGUCAAUAGAAGAACUCCAACCAUGCUUUCUUGAAUCAUAAACUAUAUCAUAGAUAGAAUGGGAACGAUCCUUUCACUCAGGUAGAACUUUCAGCACCGGGGCCAUUUCUUUCAUUGGUUGCUUCACAUCACGUCUUUGCCAACGCCUACUCUAGCUAAUCUCCGAGAUAUGAUUCGAACAAGCAACUUCCAUCGAUCUGCUUUCGAACUUCCUUGUCUGACCGAACAUGAAGGGGCAGGAAGGCUUAUUGACAAUAUAAAACUAUCCCACCGAACCGUAUAUCCCAACUUUUCGACUUCCAAUUCCAGCUUUCGAUACACAGAAGGAAAGCCAUCCCAACCUAGAGAUGAAGCCAACAAACCACUAUCUAUAUAGUAUGCCGACCAACCUCGCUAACCCGCGGGCAUUUCACCUAUCUUUCUUGACUUUCUUUAAUAUUUCCAUUUCUCUCCCUUAGCAAAGUGUAUUGAUUUUCCGGUUCAAAUACAAAAUUGAAGUUUGUACGUAAUAUCGAGUAUUCCAAAGAUAAGAGUGUACAGGUACCAAGGACUACCAGUAAGGAGCUACCUUGGGGAAUGCCGAAUUCCCUAUUGGAAUAGAUCUUGCCCUCGAAGAUGGGGGCCGUAAAAAAAGCAGCUAUUUGAUUGAUGAGCAUUUCAUUCUUGUCGCCUACUUAGCUUCUCAGAAACUCAAGGAGUAGCUGAUGAGAUAUUUUUUCAAAACAGCUUUUGCUUUUGAUAUCUGCUUUUAUGACUCUAUUGACCGUAGGCCAACGUUUGACUUCCUGGAAAAGAGUGAUAGCGCCCCGUCUCGGCCGAAAUCCAUGCGAAUGCACGGAAAAUAGAGGAUCAAAUAACAGGUUAAAUAAGUGGGCUAGUCCUAGCCCUCCAUUACGAUCCUAUCUCUCUCCGCAGGUUGAGUUAUAGGUCGAAACAUUCCCGGUUUGUUCGCUUUUGGUAUGAACGACCGAAACAUUGCCGAGAAGCGAAAGGUUGAUGUCAACAACUCACACUGAAUUUCCUCCAGUUCCUCCCUUUGUGGCAGAGCGAGCGCCUUGACUAAGAUAGAUUGACUCUUUCAUUCUUGCAGCCUAUUCUGGUUCCAAUCGCGUUUGAGGCCCUUUGGCAUCAAUGAAACUCUGUGAUAUAGGAGUUCACUCAUUUCGUUUGAGAGAUAGUGGAAUUUCUUCUUUCAACACGUACAUCGACGAGGGUGUCGAUGACUUGAGUGAGGAAUGGUCAUGUGCUAGAGGCCGUACCGUUGGAGUAAGACCUCAACAAGGGGGUGUGCAGUUUAAAUGUAAAUGACGAGCAUGGAGAGACCAAGGUCAUUUGUAAUUAGGUGUGGCUGAUGCAAGAAGACUGGCGAGCUGUCCAUGGUGAGACUCGUUGUGAUGCUACUGCAGGAGGCAUCCUGGUGUAGUUGAGGGCGCAGAACUUCUGUGCGGGUACAACUGGCACUUAAAAGACCUUCCGUGUAGAUGAGUUCUCUUGAGUGAGACUAAUCGAGUUACGAAGAAACCUUUGCGAUGGUGCUGUGCAGUUGGGUUCUCUAUGGAGGAACUUCGUUGUGGGGACCAAGGCAAAUAAGGAUACCCGGUCAGUCACGCGAAUAACGAAACAAAAUAACGAACAAAUAACGAAUGCGCACAAACCACUUUUACUGAUUCAAAUAAGUAUAUAGCGCUUCCUUAAUUAAGUAACCUUCCACUUAUAACGAACGGGUAGGGGCAGGGGACCUACCUACUUACAGAUGAUGAAUGGAUUCAUCAAGUUAUGGAUGCAUUUCUCCCAUCCUCUUUCGGUAUCUAAAAGCUACCGUCGGAGAGGGGAUUGCCUUAGCUACCGGUACCGAACUCCGAUCAAACUAAAACGAAAAGCUUAACCGAUUCUUGUAGAGUCCUUAGCAUUAGAUAAUGCAUGCGCACACAAGAGGAAUGAACGGCUUUGCCUUCUAGUGAUUUGGAAGGAUUGAGUCGGCUGCCCCCAGCCUCGCCCCGCAUCGCCCUCCGGGGGUAGUUACGCCAGUGGAACCAACUCACAAAGCAGCCCAAAAGCAGGAACUUUUCUGGAUUGAAUUGGUUUCGGGAUUCCCUUCGGAAUCGAUACCGAAAUCCACUCAAUCAAACAAGCAAAUCAAGCAAUAACUCAAUUUCUUAGGGAAUGGAAAAAGUGAUUAAACGCAGUGUUCAGCUCCCCAAUCCGUACUAAAACAGGAAGCAUUCCACAACCAAGAAGCAAAAACAACACGAAAACAGAAAAGCAUCCAGUUUUAUGAAUUGAUUUACUUUCGGUCCUUCGGAAUGUGCACCGAAAUCUCCAUCAAACUCAAAACAAAUCAAAAAACAAGGAAUGGAAAACCAUCAAACGCAGUGUUCAGCGGCCCAAUCCCUACUAAAAAGGAGGUGCCGCCAAUUGCACAAAAGGAGCACAAAAUCCAUCAAUCAAAGAAGAAAAUAGGACAAAUCCGCACCUAAAAGUUGCUAAUUUGGUAUCAGAAAUAUGGUAUAUCGACCCUGAUUCGCAGGGUUCGUUCGCGUCGCGAUACAGAUAAACUAUUCAUUUGGCGAUCUCGUUCUUGUUCGGCUCCAAGAUCGCUCACCGCCUGCAUUGAAAGACGGGGACAGGGAGGCCUUCUUCCCGGAGCCGCGGGAAUCAGCUAUACGCGACUGGAGAUACCCGGAGGAAGCCGAUUCGGCUUGGAACGUAAGUUAGGGAUCAGUAGGGAGUGACGACUCUCCUCGUUACACACAUGCCGGAGGAAGAUCGCUUCACAGGUGGUGCUGUCCUACCCCCCCCCUGUCGUUAUCUCGCUUUACUCCGUUCAUCUUCUCCACUGCCUACCUCAAAAUGGGCAGUGAAUCCGUUGUCAUAACCGAGAUCGAGGGCUUGCCUGCAUGGAAAGUGACUCCGAAACUCUCCCGUUAACGAGGUCGAGUGCCAGCUUACCGCAGAGGAUUAAUGGGCAGUCGGGGUAGACCUUCUGGGGACGUGGAUCCGGUGAAUGACUAAUAAGAAAGUGAGAGCACCCGGUUUGAAUAUUACGGUUCGAUGGGAGAUCUCGACCUGGGAGUCGGAACUUGGACCUGUAUGGUAGCUGCAUGGCGUUGAUAUCACUAGCUCGUACCAACUAUAUAGUAUCGAUAGACGGGCCUCUAUCAACAAACAUGAUUGCUUAGCCCUUGUAUAGUAUCGAUUACCUGGCUUCUUUAGCACGGGUUUCGUCAGGGAAGUAUUCCAGGCCAAAUAGCUGAAGAGAAGAUGGUUCGCGCUAAGGGUGACUAAAGGCAGAGAAUUCUGUACGCCAAGAAGAAAAGAAAGUUUGUAGGGGUGAGAAUGAACUUUCAAACCCUUUUCUUGCCCCUAUCCUUUUUGCUAUGAUUAUGGAACUAAAGUCUGAAAUAGUUUUUCUCAAUGUUUUUCAUACUGGCUACUAGCAGGCUUGGCUUGCCCAUCUCCUCGUAAUUGAACUCGCAUUCAGCUGGUCUUGUUCUUGCGGUUGGCCUUUUGAACAUGAAUGGUAGGAGCUCCAACAUUCGAAGGCGGCGAGUUGAAAGAGUGGCAGGUGUAUUGGCUACGCACAUUAGUUGUUCGGGCGAGUAAUGCCAGGGGUAAGACAAGCUAAGCGAGUUGGCUAUUCAUUUCGGUUUUGAGCAGACAGGUAUCGGGUAGCAAGGCAAGCGGGUCAAAUAGUUAGGGCAGCCAGAGAGGCAAGAGCAGGAAGCAAGCAAGCCGGUAAGCCAGAAGAGCAGGCCCAAGAGCAGGCAAGGCAAGGAACUCGGUUACGCCUGGAAAUCCUCUUUACUUUCCACGAAAAGAUCCACUUCAAAAGUUUAUGGAGUAGAAGAACCCGCCUCAUAUCGGUACACCUGAAUAACCAUAUCUGUGAAACCCGGUCCAUCUGUAUACAUCGAUAUUUUCACUGUAUACUCAUUUCCUUUCUGUUUCAUUUUCCUCUCUAAAAUAGCUUCAGGUUGCACUAGUUAUUCUCCAUCUUUCCCCACAAUCGGCAUGUCAGAUAGGACUUGUACACCUUCCCCCACCCUUUUCUUCAAUUGCGAAACAUUAAAGACUGGGUGUACCAGUGUACCAGCUUUUAAGCUAUCUUACUAAUCCUUUAUGAUCACCUCCUGAAUCUUACUUACUUCUAAACUAGUGUGCAACUCGUGGAUGAAAGGAAUAACAUAAUAAAUCAUUUGAGCUAAUUCCUGAAAAGUUCGAUUUUCCUCUUUGCUGAUCAUUGAAAAAUCGAUCUCUCAAUUCCACCACUUGCCCGAAAUCCUGAAAUGUAACUCGACUAACCCAACUGCUCUUUGAAAAAGAACCACUUAUUUUAUUGAGUUGGUAAUUGACGAGCAUUUACUCUCUUUUUUAAUCCUUUUUGAAGAGUCCCUUCUGACGUGGCUUUUUGAUGAGAAGAAAGUGAUCAAAUUAGAAAACGUUUGCCCGAGAAGUACGAGUAUAUUGUCGCUGCAAUUGAAGAGUCGAAAGAUCUGUCGACACUCUCAAUUCAACAAUUGAUGAUUUCAUGUUCGUCGCAUGAAGAGAGAAAUCUACAGCGCGGGGGAAACUCGGUUGAAAGUUCUUUCCAGUCGAAGUUGAGGAGCCCAAAAACCCUCGAUGAAUAAAGGGAAUUUAAAGAGAAAGGGCGGCUCUCGUACUUUAUAUAACUUCCUAACAUUCGUAUUUUCGUUCGUUAUAUAGCGGAUAAAAUCUCCCAUUCAUCCGUUAGUGAUUUCUUGCUUGCAUUGGCAUUGAAUAUUCUAGUGUAGUGACUGGGGCUUCC